rnacentral:tRNA from 10 species
UGGAAGAUUACUCAAGAGGCUUAAGAGGCCGUGUUGGAAACGCGGUAGGCGUGUAAUAGCGUGCGUGGGUUCGAAUCCCAUGUCUUCCGUCGA